GAAAGCAAUCAUGCUGGGGGUAUGACUCUCGAGAUUCGGAGAGCAGUGUCUUUUCGAUUUUUGAGGAAGUAAUCAUGUUGGGAGUCUGGCUCUCGAGAUUCGGAGGGCGGUGCCUCUUCGAUUUUGGAGCAAGCAAUCUUGUUGGGAGUGUUGUCUCGAAUGUGAGUAAAGGUUAGGCAUGUUUGCUAGUCUACCUUGCCACGAAGCACAAAGGUUGACACACAGGGACUUUCCAAUUAUCCAGCAAUGGUACUGUUCCUUUACCCUCUCUUCGAUUUUGAGAAAGUAGUCAUGUUGGGAGUCUGGCUCUCGAGAUUCGGAGGACGGUGCCUCUUCGAUUUUGGAGCAAGCAAUCUUAUUGGGAGUGUUUUCUCGAAUGUGAGUAAAGGUUGGGCAUGUUUGCUAGUCUACCUUGCCACGAAGCACAGAGGUUGACACACAGGGACUUUCCAAUUAUCCAGCAGUGGUACUGUUCCUUUACAGUUGUGGGUAAUAAUAUGGUAGCUAGACCUUCAAAAUUUUAUGUGUCUAAACUUUUGUUAGUGCUGUUUCUUUGCUAUUCUUUUACCUUUCUUGGUCAGAGCGAUGUAGUGGGAGCUGCAAGCUUCACGUGCUCAACUUUGGCAGAGAACUUUGGCAAAGUUAUUUGUGGUACCCAUGAGCUAUUGUUGCGUGUGGGAAGUGGGUGAUUGAACAGUAAGAUUCAUGUGCUUUCUACUUCACCAGAAGUCUUUGACAGAAUGCCCAUAAUUUCUGCAAAGCUGAGUGUGCGUGUGACAGGUGCUGACAAGGCUAGAAAAGUAGGUGCCUCUUCGAUUUCUGAGAUCGGCCCUCGUGGUCUCUGAGCAGCCCAGCUUUUGAGAAAGCGAGCGCCUCUUCGAUUGAUUCGGAGAACGAUGCCUCAUCGAUUUUUGAGAAAGCAAUCAUGCUGGGGGUCUGGCUCUCGAGAUUCGGGGAGCAGUGUCUCUUCGAUUUUUGAGAAAGUAAUCAUGUUGGGAGUCUGGCUCUCGAGAUUCGGAGGGCGGUGCCUCUUCGAUUUUGGAGUAAGCAAUCUUGUUGGGAGUGUUUUUCUCGAAUGUGAGUAAAGGUUAGGCAUGUUUGCUAGUCUACCUUGCCACGAAGCACAGAGGUUGACACACAGGGACUUUCCAAUUAUCCAGCAAUGGUACUGUUCCUUUACCCUCUCUUCGAUUUUUUAAGAAAGUAGUCAUGUUGGGAGUCUGGCUCUCGAGAUUCGGAGGACGGUGCCUCUUCGAUUUUGGAGCAAGCAAUCUUAUUGGGAGUGUUUUCUCGAAUGUGAGUAAAG
rnacentral:lncRNA from 1 species